ACACACACACACACACAGAGGCAUAUAAAUGGGAUGGGAGGGCUUCAGAUGAUAACAGUGUCAUAAAAGCACAAUAUCUCCCUGUCUUACGGGAAAAGAGGAAAGUCGUUACUGGCAGCCCCUCAGCGACAGAAAUCCCCUUCCAGAGAGCAUCCGUCUGACACAAAAAAAAUCUGACAAAAUGAAACUCCUUCUUCUGGCUUUCUGCCUCCUGGGCUCAGUAACCCUGUGUGUGAUGCAGAGCACAGAUAUCACAGUGGCUCCAGCUACAAAAACCACAGCAGCUCCAGCUACAAAAACCACAGCAGCUCCAGCUACAAAAACCACAGCAGCUCCAGCUACAAAAACCACAGCAGCUCCAGCUACAAAAACCACAGCAGCCCCAGCUACAAAUAUCACAGUGGCUCCAGCUACAAAUAUCACAGUGGCUCCAACUACAAAUAUCACAGCAGCCCCAGCUACAAAAACCACAGCAGCCCCAGCUUCCACAGCAGCCCCAGCUUCCACAGCAGCCCCAGCUUCCACAACGGCCCCAGCAACAGGGCUUUCAUCUGGCGCUAUAGCCGGCAUUACUAUUGGCUCCAUCGCCGGGGUGGGCGCUGUUGGUGGUGGUAUCUUCGGCCUGCUGAAGUUCACCGGGAAGAUCUGAGACCAGUUUCUUCCCGAAGAGAACAUUUCUUAUUCUACAUUUAAAAAUAUUCAACAUCCUAAAAUCAAACCUGAUGCUUUGAAUUAUGAAAAUAAAACAGUUUGUCUGAAAGGCUCGGAUAAGAAUCACACGAUGGUACGAGCCCAGAGGAAGACAACGUAAACAAUUCAUUUCAGAGCAUACAAAAAAUUCCUCGUGAUAGAAAGUAAGAACACGUUGUGUUUCUGUGUUUGUGGAUGAAGGUACUUCUUCUAUAAUCGCCUGGAAAUGCUUGAUUUUACAACUAAUUUGUAUUUAAUUUCCUUUAUAUUUAACUCUUGCUUUUGGAUUUCAGCAUAUGAGAAGGCACACAAUUAUGAACAAUAUUGUCUAUGUUUUUUACGGCGGUGUACAAAAGAAAUAAAGUGUUGUCAGAAA